UGAGUAUUUUUAUUGAUUCAAGUAAUGUAUCAAGCCUGAUGCUGUGAAAAUUAAAGACUAAUAAAAAACUGACGUAUCAGAAGCAUGUAUUAAUAUUAGCUUUUUUGUUUUUUUGUGGUACUGGGGAUUGAACUCAGGACCUUGUGCUUACAAGGCAGGUGCAGUGCUGCCAAACUAAAUCCCUGGCCCCAGCUAUUGUUUUUAAUAAGUUGGUUUUAUUAGCUUUUAUUAUUAAUACACUGUUGGCAUUUUUAUCUGUUUAAGCUUUCAUUAAUCUGAGUUUCUCCUUUAAACAGUGUAUUGAAAAUGUUUCUCGGCAGAAUUGUCCAAUAUGUUUGGAGGACAUUCAUACAUCCCGUGUUGUUGCUCAGGUCUUGCCAUGUGGACAUCUUUUACAUAGAACGUGUUAUGAAGAAAUGUUGAAAGAGUGAGUUUUGAUGGAAUUUUAAAAACUUAUAAUUGUAAGAUGUCUUUCCUUUGUGUGUGUGUAAGUAAGGAGGUGGGCAAAUGUGACUGCUGCUUACACAUUAUUGGGCAUGACAGAUGUUUAUGUUGAGAUCAGUAGGGUAGAUGAAUGGUAUUAAACUGGCCACAGCAUCUUGAGGAUAUGUGACUGUACCUGAAUUCCAGUUUCUCUUACGCCUUAUGUACUCCCACAACUCAAGACAGAUACUUGUUGUUUAGCCAUGCUUGUCAAGGAACACUCUCCACCAGAGGCAGUCAUGGUAUUCUGAAAACACUGAGGAGGGUGCUAAAAAUGUUGUCAGGUCAUGGAAAACUGGUAAAGAAUUUAC